CACCGAGAUUCAACAUGGAACGAGUGGCGGACGGGUGAGUAACACGUGGGUAACCUGCCCUUAAGUGGGGGAUAACAUUUGGAAACAGAUGCUAAUACCGCAUAGAUCCAAGAACCGCAKGGUUCUWGGCUGAAAGAUGGCGUAWGCUAUCRCUUUUGGAUGGACCCGCGGCGUAWUAGCUAGUUGGUGAGGUAACGGCUCACCAAGGCGAUGAUACGUAGCCKAACUGAGAGGUUGAUCGGMCACAUUGGGACUGAGACACGGCCCAAACUCCUACGGGAGGCAGCAGUAGGGAAUCUUCCACAAUGGACGCAAGUCUGAUGGAGCAACGCCGCGUGAGUGAAGAAGGCUUUCGGGUCGUAAAACUCUGUUGUUGGAGAAGAAUGGUCGGCAGAGUAACUGUUGUCGGCGUGACGGUAUCCAACCAGAAAGCCACGGCUAACUACGUGCCAGCAGCCGCGGUAAUACGUAGGUGGCAAGCGUUAUCCGGAUUUAUUGGGCGUAAAGCGAGCGCAGGCGGUUUUUUAAGUCUGAUGUGAAAGCCCUCGGCUUAACCGAGGAAGCGCAUCGGAAACUGGGAAACUUGAGUGCAGAAGAGGACAGUGGAACUCCAUGUGUAGCGGUGAAAUGCGUAGAUAUAUGGAAGAACACCAGUGGCGAAGGCGGCUGUCUGGUCUGUAACUGACGCUGAGGCUCGAAAGCAUGGGUAGCGAACAGGAUUAGAUACCCUGGUAGUCCAUGCCGUAAACGAUGAAUGCUAGGUGUUGGAGGGUUUCCGCCCUUCAGUGCCGCAGCUAACGCAUUAAGCAUUCCGCCUGGGGAGUACGACCGCAAGGUUGAAACUCAAAGGAAUUGACGGGGGCCCGCACAAGCGGUGGAGCAUGUGGUUUAAUUCGAAGCAACGCGAAGAACCUUACCAGGUCUUGACAUCUUUUGAUCACCUGAGAGAUCAGGUUUCCCCUUCGGGGGCAAAAUGACAGGUGGUGCAUGGUUGUCGUCAGCUCGUGUCGUGAGAUGUUGGGUUAAGUCCCGCAACGAGC
rnacentral:rRNA from 1 species